UUUCCUCUGGCUCAGAUGGUAGAGCGUUGUGCUAAUAACGCAAAAGUUAUGGGUUCAAAUCCCAGGGAAAG
rnacentral:tRNA from 1 species